CACGAUCAGCACAUCUCUCCCCACAGGGGGUCUGGACGGGAAGCCAAAUCAUGAUUGGAGCAUGGCUGGGUACAUCGGAAAGACACAGAGGAAUUGGACUUCAUCUAGAUGGAGUCGGACUCCCCUACCCCUACCUGGCUCCAGCUGCGGAAACCCUCCCUUGACACUCUGGCAAAGACACAUUGUACUGGGCAUCACUCUUGGGAGCUCUGGAGUGUGA
rnacentral:lncRNA from 13 species